GCCAGUGUGGCUCAGUAGGUUCGAGUGCUGGAUAUUAUUACUGAGGUUGAGGGUUCAAUUCCUACAGAUGUCA